AGUGAACGCUGGCGGUAGGCCUAACACAUGCAAGUCGAACGGCAGCACAGUAAGAGUUUGCUCUUACGGGUGGCGAGUGGCGGACGGGUGAGGAAUACAUCGGAAUCUACUUUUUCGUGGGGGAUAACGUAGGGACACUUACGCUAAUACCGCAUAUGACCUACGGGUGAAAGCAGGGGAUAUUCGCACCUUGCGCGAUUCAAUGAGCCGAUGUCGGAUUAGCUAGUUGGCGGGGUAAAGGCCCACCAAGGCGACGAUCCGUAGCUGGUCUGAGAGGAUGAUCGGCCACACUGGAACUGAGACACGGUCCAGACUCCUACGGGAGGCAGCAGUAGGGAAUAUUGGGCAAUGGGCGCAAGCCUGAUCCAGCCAUACCGCGUGGGUGAAGAAGGCCUUCGGGUUGUAAAGCCCUUUUGUUGGGAAAGAAAAGCAGCAGAUGAAUACCCCGCUGUUCUGACGGUACCCAAAGAAUAAGCACCGGCUAACUUCGUG
rnacentral:rRNA from 1 species